rnacentral:rRNA from 1 species
AAAAUUGUUGCAGUUAAAACGUUCGUAGUUGAAUAUUAAAGAAUCCGAUGUUUCAUUUAAACUGGUUUGGGAAAACCAAAUAUAUUAUAUAUUUUGCUUUGUUCAAAAUAAGGUUUUCUAAUAAAUUAUGUUUUUAUCAGAUAUGACAGAAUCUUUUUUAAAAUCUCUUCAAUAUGCYUUUAUUGCUUUUGAGAGGUUUUGUUACUUUGAGUAAAAUUAAGUGUUCAUAACAGACGGGUAGUCAUGAUUGAGUUCAUUGUGUUUGAAUACUACAGCAUGGAAUAACAAAUAUGAAUAAGCUAAUUAUUUUUUUUUUUCAUAAUUUUUUUUGAUAUUCUUAUUAGCUUAGUUACGAUUAAUAGGAGUAGCUUUGGGGGCAUUCGUAUUCAGAUGUCAGAGGUGAAAUUCUAAGAUUUUCUGGAGACGGACUACUGCGAAAGCAUUUGCCUAAUCUAUUUCCAUUAAUCAAGAACGAAAGUUAAGGGAGUGAAGACGAUCAGAUACCGUCGUAAUCUUAACCAUAAACUAUACCGACUAGGUGUUGGAUGAAAGUGUUAAAAAUAAAAGUCAUCUUUCGAGGUGACUUUUAGAUUGCUUCCUUCAGUACCUUAUGAGAAAUCAAAGUCUUUGGGUUCUGGGGCGAGUAUUCGCGCAAGCGAGAAAGUUAAAAGAAUUGACGGAAGGGCACCACCAGGCGUGGAGCUUGCGGCUUAAUUUGACUCAACACGGGGAAACUCACUAGUUUAAGACAAGAGUAGGAUUGACAGAUUAAUAGCUCUUUCUUGAUUUCUUGGAUGGUGAUGCAUGGCCGUUUUUAGUUCGUGAAUAUGAUUUGUCUGGUUAAUUCCGAUAACGAACGAGAUCUUAACCUGCUAAUUAGCGGCGAGUACACUAUAUUCUUAUUUGAAAUUGAACAUAGGUAACUAUACAUUUAUUCAGUAAUCAAAUUAGGAUAUUUUUAUUAAAAUAUCCUUUUCCCUGUUCUACUAAUAAUUUGUUUUUUACUCUAUUUCUCUCUUCUUUUAAGAAUGUACUUGCUUGAUUGAAAAGCUUCUUAGAGGAACAUUGUGUGUCUAACACAAGGAAGUUUAAGGCAACAACAGG